rnacentral:rRNA from 1 species
UGGGGAAUAUUGCACAAUGGGCGCAAGCCUGAUGCAGCCAUGCCGCGUGUGUGAAGAAGGCCUUCGGGUUGUAAAGCACUUUCAGCGAGGAGGAAGGUGGUGGACUUAAUACGUUCAUCAAUUGACGUUACUCGCAGAAGAAGCACCGGCUAACUCCGUGCCAGCAGCCGCGGUAAUACGGAGGGUGCAAGCGUUAAUCGGAAUUACUGGGCGUAAAGCGCACGCAGGCGGUUUGUUAAGUCAGAUGUGAAAUCCCCGGGCUCAACCUGGGAACUGCAUUUGAAACUGGCAAGCUAGAGUCUCGUAGAGGGGGGUAGAAUUCCAGGUGUAGCGGUGAAAUGCGUAGAGAUCUGGAGGAAUACCGGUGGCGAAGGCGGCCCCCUGGACGAAGACUGACGCUCAGGUGCGAAAGCGUGGGGAGCAAACAGAUUAGNUACCCUGGUAGUCCACGCUGUAAAACGAUGUCGAUUUUGGAGGUUGUGCCCUUGAGGCGUGGCUUCCGGAGCUAACGCGUUAAAUCGACCGCCUGGGGAGUACGGCCGCAAGGUUAAAACUCAAAUGAAUU